rnacentral:misc_RNA from 1 species
UCCGAUUUACACCGGCGGUCUCCUAUGAGUUCCCGGCUUUACCCGCUGGCAACAUAGGACGAGGGCUGCGCUCGUUAGAGGACUUAACCCUACACCUCACGGCACGAGCUGACGACAGCCAUGCAACAGGUGUCUUCUGGCCUCCCUUGUGGGGAGGGGCCCUGCUUUCACAGGGUUACCAUUGAUGUCAAACCUGGGUAAGGUUCUUCGGUUAGUAUCGAAUUAAUCCACAUGCUCCACCGCUUGUGCGGGGUCCCGUCAAUUCAUUUGAGUUUCAACCUUGCGGUCGUACUCCCCAGGCGGGACACUUAUUGCGUUAGCUGCGGCACCGGGGGGGUCGAUACCCCCGACGCCUAGUGUCCAUCGUUUAGGGCGUGGACUAC